rnacentral:rRNA from 1 species
UACGGGGGGGCAAGCGUUGUUCGGAAUUACUGGGCGUAAAGGGCUCGUAGGCGGCCAACUAAGUCAGACGUGAAAUCCCUCGGCUUAACCGGGGAACUGCGUCUGAUACUGGAUGGCUUGAGUGUAGGAGAGGGAUGCGGAAUUCCAGGUGUAGCGGUGAAAUGCGUAGAUAUCUGGAGGAACACCGGUGGCGAAGGCGGCAUCCUGGACUACUACUGACGCUGAGUGAGCGAAAGCCAGGGGAGCAAACGGGG